AUUGAACGCUGGCGGCAGGCCUAACACAUGCAAGUCGUGCGCGCGGCGCACGGGUGUGCAAUGUCUGGGGCUCUGCCUGACGGAGGGGGCUAACUACUGGAAACGGUAUCUAACACCGCAUACCAUCAGAUGAACCCAUAUGGGAGUCGCUUGUAGGUGAGGUAACGUCGCACGUAGGCGACGAUCUCUAGCUGGUCUGAGAGGAUGAUCAGCCACACUGGGACUGAGACACGGCCCAGACUCCUACGGGAGGCAGCAGUGGGGAAUAUUGCACAAUGGGCGCAAGACUGAUGCAGACAUGCCGCGUGUAUGAAGAAGGCCUUCGGGUUGUAAAGUACUUUCAGUCGGGAGGCGUUACCGACAGAAGAAGCACCGGCUAACUCCGUGCCAGCAGCCGCGGUAAUAC
rnacentral:rRNA from 1 species